CCUCUUCCACAUCGCCUCCACCCCCCCCCCCCCCCGCUUUACCCAUCAGACCAUCGGCUAAAGCUGAUUUCGGCAUCACUUACACCGCUUCCCAUCAACCCCUGUCCCUUCGUCCCCUUUUCUUCAAGUGACAGAGCUUCGAACAGCUCGUCCAAAGUCGAAUCAGCCCCCAAAUCAAAAAGAACGCGAACAUCUUUGGGAUUCCAGACCGUUCUUCCAACAAUCCAUAGGGUAAAGGUUUGUUUCGGUCCAUGGAGCCUAAAACCAUGAAGAAUCCACUAAAUUCGGAGUCCCACUGAAUUUGCAGCCUUCAAAUCGCUCUGAAAAGUUCUCGACUCCACAACAAGCUUUUCAAGCGGAAUCGAAUACUCGACGACGACAAUAGCCUCAGUUCGCUGUCAUGGAGAAGCACCGGGUGUCCGAGUCUCUUUGAGCCCCGACUAAUCCCGGGGGUGCACAGGCCCUCAGCAAGGAGUUUCCCGCAAGUGCACCACGGUUAAUUCAGGGUUUCCCCAGUCCGAUGGCCCCCAGAAAUUGUUUGCACCUAGCGGGUUUCGAACUUGAGACCCUGAAGGGGAGCACUCCAAGGCUCAAGUCAAUUGCCACCAGGCCAACCCCUGAGGGUUAAUUUCUUCUUUUUUUUUCUCUGAACCAUUUGCUUCUCCUUCUAGCCAUUUCAUGAAUGUUGAACACAUAUAUGAAUCCGGCGGCUGUUCUUACCAUAGGCAGUGUGUCCUUGAAAUGAUGGUAUAAUGUGUCUAAUUUAUUAAAGUUUAGGAGUUGUUUUGUCAUUUUCUUUUAGGAUUCUAAAAAAAAUGUGCUAUUUGAGUUGUCUUUUGCUGAGAAUUUGAAAUUUGAUUACUGGAAGUUGUAUAUCCGGGCCCCUUUAUUAUUG